rnacentral:tRNA from 1 species
GCCAAGGUAACUUAUUGGCUCAAGCAGUGGGCUGCAAACCCAUUAAACGAGAGUUCAAAUCUCUCUCUUGGCU